rfam:Haloferax mediterranei ATCC 33500, complete genome.
GCCAGGAGAGCAUGGGCGGUUCAUGCACUCGACUUGUAAUCGAGACUUCGUGGGUUCAAAUCCCACUCCUGGCU